rnacentral:rRNA from 1 species
CUCCUACGGGAGGCAGCAGUGAGGAAUAUUGGUCAAUGGACGAAGUCUGAACCAGCCAUGCCGCGUGAAGGAUGAAGGCGUUCUGCGUUGUAAACUUCUUUUAUUGGGGAAGAAACCUGGGAUUUCCAUCUCAGCCGACGGUACCCAAGGAAUAAGCACCGGCUAACUCCGUGCCAGCAGCCGCGGUAAUACGGAGGGUGCAAGCGUUAUCCGGAUUUACUGGGUUUAAAGGGUGUGUAGGCGGGCUAUUAAGUCAGCGGUGAAAUCUCCGGGCUCAACCCGGAAACUGCCAUUGAUACUAUUAGUCUUGAAUAUUGUUGAGGUGGGCGGAACGGGUCAUGUAGCGGUGAAAUGCAUAGAUAUGACCCGGAACACCGAUUGCGAAGGCAGCCCACUAAGCAAUGAUUGACGCUGAGGCACGAAAGCGUGGGGAUCAAACAGGAUUAGAUACCCUGGUAGUCCACGCCCUAAACGAUGAUUACUCGACGUUGGCGAUACACUGAUCAGCGUCCAAGCGAAAGCAUUAAGUA